CGGAGUUAGCCGGUGCUUAUUCCUAAGGUACCGUCAGAAUUCUUCCCUCAGAAAAGAACUUUACGAUCUUUCGACCUUCAUCGUUCACGCGGUGUUGCUCCAUCAGGCUUUCGCCCAUUGUGGAAGAUUCUUU
rnacentral:rRNA from 1 species